CUGCUGAGCCUGUGGAGCAGCAGCUGUUGGACAAUCCCAUUUUUUGGUGUUUUCCCAAAUAUUAGGAGAGUUUGUGGUGCAAUCUGUGUUAGUGGCACCUCUUUGGGGCAAAUCCUGACACUGGCCCCAGGAUGUGAUGCACUGAGCCUGGGGUAGAUCUCCUGGAUCUUCAGAGGAGAGAGGAGAAAUGUUGCCAACUGAUUAAUAUUUUAAGCAUGUAGACAACCUGCAGACCUUGCUCUUCGACUCAGAUUUCUCCUUUCUCCCCUCCCCAAAAAUGGUUUUGCUGCUUUAAACUCAUUGUUCAGAUUUCCUGCUCCCAGGGUCCAGGGGAGCACAAGAAUUUGGAUACUGGAGAUCUGAGCUUGAAUCCAGGAAUAACCCAGCCCUUGUCCUCCUUCCCUGGGCAAAG